UACAUGGAGAGGGACGGGCACAGGUCCUGCCUCGUUAUGUCUGGGGUCAUGAGUGGCUGCAGGCUGGGGGACCUGUGGACCCUCGACAUUGAGACGCUGACGUGGAACAAGCCGAGCCUGAGCGGGGUGGCCCCCCUGCCCCGCAGCCUCCACUCGGCCACCACCAUCGGCAACAAGAUGUACGUGUUUGGGGGGUGGGUGCUCCUGGGUGUCCCUGGGUG